rnacentral:rRNA from 1 species
GACGAACGCUGGCGGCGUGCUUAACACAUACAAGUCGAACGGAAAGGCCCUGCUUUUGUGGGGUGCUCGAGUGGCGAACGGGUGAGUAACACGUGAGUAACCUGCCCUUGACUUUGGGAUAACUUCAGGAAACUGGGGCUAAUACCGGGUAGGAGCUCCUGCUGCAUGGUGGGGGUUGGAAAGUUUCGGCGGUUGGGGAUGGACUCGCGGCUUAUCAGCUUGUUGGUGGGGUAGUGGCUUACCAAGGCUUUGACGGGUAGCCGGCCUGAGAGGGUGACCGGCCACAUUGGGACUGAGAUACGGCCCAGACUCCUACGGGAGGCAGCAGUGGGGAAUAUUGCACAAUGGGCGGAAGCCUGAUGCAGCAACGCCGCGUGCGGGAUGACGGCCUUCGGGUUGUAAACCGCUUUCGCCUGUGACGAAGCGUGAGUGACGGUAAUGGGUAAAGAAGCACCGGCUAACUACGUG